rnacentral:misc_RNA from 1 species
GAUGAAGAACGUAGCGAAAUGCGAUAAGUAGUGUGAAUUGCAGAAUUCAGUGAAUCAUCGAAUCUUUGAACGCACAUUGCGCCCCCUGGUAUUCCGGGGGGCAUGCCUGUUCGAGCGUCAUUUCAACCCUCAAGCUCUGCUUGGUAUUGAGUCCAUGUCAGCAAUGGCAGGCUCCAAAAUCAGUGGCGGCGCCGCUGGGUCCUGAACGUAGUAAUAUCUCUCGUUACAGGUGCUCGGCGUGCUUCUGCCAAAACCCCAAUUUUUCUAUGGUUGACCUCGGAUCAGGUAGGGAUACCCGCUGAACUUAAGCAUAUCAAUAAGCGGAGGA